rnacentral:rRNA from 1 species
GAUGAACGCUAGCGGGAGGCUUAAUACAUGCAAGUCGAGCGGCAAGGUCCUUCGGGGCCCUAGAGCGGCGCACGGGUGAGUAACGCGUACGCAAUCUGCCUUCAAGAGAGGCAUAGCCCCGGGAAACUGGGAUUAAUACCUUAUAGCAUCACCGGGAGGCAUCUUUUGGUGAUUAAAGCUGAGGCGCUUGGAGAUGGGCGUGCGUCUGAUUAGCUAGUUGGCGGGGUAAUGGCCCACCAAGGCUACGAUCAGUAGGGGGCGUGAGAGCGUGGCCCCCCACACGGGUACUGAGACACGGACCCGACUCCUACGGGAGGCAGCAGUAAGGAAUAUUGGACAAUGGAGGCAACUCUGAUCCAGCCAUCCCGCGUGCAGGAUGAAUGCCCUAUGGGUUGUAAACUGCUUUUGUGAGGGAAGAACCGGGCUCAUUCAUGAGCUUUUGACGGUACCUUACGAAUAAGCACCGGCUAACUCCGUGCCAGCCGCCGCUGUAAUAC